UGGGGAAUAUUGCACAAUGGGCGCAAGCCUGAUGCAGCCAUGCCGCGUGUGUGAAGAAGGCCUUCGGGUUGUAAAGCACUUUCAGCGGGGUGGAAGGCGAUAAGGUUAAUAACCUUGUCGAUUGACGUUACCCGCAGAAGAAGCACCGGCUAACUCCGUGCCAGCAGCCGCGGUAAUACGGAGGGUGCAAGCGUUAAUCGGAAUUACUGGGCGUAAAGCGCACGCAGGCGGUCUGUCAAGUCGGAUGUGAAAUCCCCGGGCUCAACCUGGGAACUGCAUUCGAAACUGGCAGGCUAGAGUCUUGUAGAGGGGGGUAGAAUUCCAGGUGUAGCGGUGAAAAGCGUAGAGAUCUGGAGGAAUACCGGUGGCGAAGGCGGCCCCCUGGACAAAGACUGACGCUCAGGUGCGAAAGAGUGGGGAGCAAACAGG
rnacentral:rRNA from 1 species